AAACCGCGUCAUGUGUGCAUGUGAUGAUGUCAUGGAGUGGGCAGGGCCCUGUCGCCUGGGAGAUGAUGUAAACAAAAGGCCGAAUUGUAGCGCCCCCUCCAGGCAGUGUGUUCUCUGAGUGGGGGUGCCCUGACAAAGACUGACCGAAGCAUUUAUCUGAUCCCAGAACAGCUGACAGGCUCAUUUCAUUUGCUGAGGAGAACCCAGGGUUGAGAGCUCCAGUAAAGAGACUUUGGUUUAUUCAGUCUCAGUUUCACAGCUCUUGAGUGAUGAAGCUCAGUAGAAAGUGUAAUACCUGGUUUCUCCUGCAGGUGGCGCUGCUCCUGGAGGCAGUGACUCAACCCUCUGGUGUCAGUCUACAUUAUAAAAACAUUAAACUGCAGCAGAGAAAGAUUCAAAUGAAUUUAUUUAGAAACAUUAUUCAACAUUUCUGUGAAUGUGCCAGUGUUAGCCAGCGAGCUAAUCUCCAUCCUCAUGUGUUGUUAAGUCGUCAGCACCUCUGGUUUAAAUAAAGCUUUACUGUGUUGAUUGGUUCAGACAGUGGAGGGCUUUACACUGUAUGUGUGUUUCUUUCUGUUGUCAACAAAGUUUCCUAUUCAAUGAAUAAUGAGCCUGAAACUAUGAUGGUGAAAAUGUUCGGGACCUGGAUUCAGUCAAACGCUGGAGAUGAGCGAUGACAUCAUUCAUAAAUUAAUACUUUAGGUUGAUGGGAUGAAAGCUGUUUCUCAAUGUAUGUGUUAACUUAGAUUUUUUUUUUCUUUUAUACUUUAUGAAAUUCCUGAAAGGUUUUAGUUUUUUUUCAGCACCAUAGUCUGAGAAACGCCAAUAUUUACUUAUACAAAAUGUAUUGUUCCUUAGUGACCAACACACACUACAAUGCAUCUGUACAGCUGACUGUUAUGUGUGGAAAUAACUUUUUAAAUAUGCGUAAGGGACAUCAUGAUUCAAUGGUUGGGGGGGGGGUACAACUAUCUUUGUGAGGACCAGUAUAGGGAAGGCAUUACGUCAAUGAAUGUCCUCACUUGCAGCGAUGACCCGGAAGUGCACCGCUGCAGCAGCGCCCCAGUGUCCGGCUCUCCCCCUUCGGUCACCGGACCUGUGGACCUGAGCGUCUCGGCCUCUGGAGGAACCGGAGGGAUGGAGCUCGACGCGGCUUCACCGGACUCAGCUGAGGAGUUUGGAAACGUUCAAAUCAAAAUGGAGCCGGACGGAGACGUGGAGGUCCAGUCGUAUCCUGUCCUGAAGAAUCUGUUCGUCAAACUGACGGACUGUAGGAUUUGGCUGGAGGGGCGGGACUUCCUGUCUCUGGACCAUCACCCUCAGCUCUGGAACCAGAGAGCGAGCCUGGCCUGCUCAGUGAUUACCGGCAGGAAGAUGGUCUACUGCUCUGAGUGCACCAAAGGCUUCUAUAAGAAGUCUCACCUGGAGGCUCACCUGAGGAUCCACAGAGGACUGAAACCCAAUGAGUGCUGGCAGUGUGGGAAAACCUACCCCACCCUGAUGAGCCUCGUCAUCCAUCAGCACAUCCACAAUCGCAAGGAAGCGUACCAGUGCUCGUACUGCGACAAGACCUUCGCUCUGAAGAGGGACUUGAAGACCCACCACAGGACACACUCUGGGACCAAACCCUUCAAAUGCUGGUUCUGUGGGGACGGCUUCGACGAGCGGCAGGAGCUCACCGAGCACCUGGAGGUGCACAAGGGGGAGAAGUGUUAUCGCUGCAAAGUCUGUGACAAGAUGUUCGUCUCCUACCAGGGCUUCAACUUCCACCGCAAAUCGCACAAGAACCAGAAGCUGCUGUCCUGCCCCAAAUGCAUGAAGACCUUCAGCAACCCUCAGAGUCUGAAGAUCCAUCAGGUGACACACUCCAAAAGGAAACCGCAUAAAUGCCCCACGUGUGGAAAAGGCUUCAAGCUGCAGAGCGGCCUGCACUGCCACCUGAGGACCCAUGAGGACCUCAGGGCCUACCGCUGCACCGAGUGCGGCAAAUGUUUCUCCAGCCUGCAGGGUCUGAAACUGCACAACCGCACACACACCGGACUGAAGCCCUACAAGUGCACUGAGUGUGGGAAGAGGUUCACCCAGUCCCCCCACCUCAAGUCUCACAUAGUCACACAUACUGGAGAGCGGCCGUUCCUCUGCACCACCUGCGGCAAGAGAUUCACUCAGUCGUCUCACCUGAAGUCCCACAUCACGCUGUUCCACGUGGGCGAGAAGCCGUUCACCUGUGACGACUGCGGAAAGAGCUUCACCAUCGCCCACUACCUGAAGAUGCACCGGCUGAGCCACACCAAAGAAAAGCUGCAUCAGUGCUCGUACUGCGAGAAGUCCUUCUCCUACCACAACUCCUGGAGGGCCCAUGAGCGGAUCCACACCGGCGAGCGCCCGUUCACCUGCCAGGACUGUGGCCAGAGCUUCAUCACCUCAGGCUCGCUGCUGAGCCACCAGAGAUCCAAACACACCGGAGAGAAGAACCACUACUGCUUCACCUGCGGAGAGUUCUUCUUCACCAGCUCGCUGCUGCGGCUCCACCAGCUCGACCACACCGGCGAGCGGCCGCAUGCCUGCAUCUGUGGCAAGAGCUUUAAAACUAAAGGAGUGCUGCGCUACCACCUGAAGAGGUUCACCGACCACAGACCCACUGAGUGAAGGGCUGUGUGGAAAAUCUGAAUCCCUGAAAACACAAAGGAUGGAGAGACGGGUGCAUGCAGUUUGCCAGCAGGUGGAGCUGCAGCAGUGAUGGAUCAUGAAGAUGCUCUGAAACACAUCGAUGCCAUUGUAGUCUAAACUCCUGACAUGUUGAUUUGACCCAGGCUGACAUCACUGCCGGAUGAAUUCAUCUCCUUUUAUUUUGAAAAGGAAUCAGACUGCAGAUUCAUAAUAAACCUCUUUAAAAAAAACAAGAUUUUACGUUCACUGGUGAAUAAGAUGAUAAAAAGAACUGUUCAUAAAAACAUGACAAAAGGUUUGUCCUCAUACUGAUGCAUGUUUACUGAUGAUCACUUUGUAAUCGUUUAAAAACAGAACAUUUUAAUUGAGUGUCGUCAAACAUGAAUGUUUCACCACAUCUCAAAGAAUCUGCAGCUGUAGAAACACGACCGGACACAAGAACAACUAGAUCCUAAAGAAUCAAGCAAUCACAUUUUAUAUGUGUAGUCUCAUAUCUCAGUUUGUCUCAUGGUCUUUAACAAGGUGAGACGUCCUCUGUUCUUCAGCAAGAGUCAAACUAUUAAAACCUUUAACAGGUGAAGAAGGUAGAAACCUCAGACAUGUGAGGAUCCGUCUUCCAGGACGGACACUAGUCCAACAGAUGUCCCGUGUCACAGAGGACAUCAGAGAGAUCAGAGUCUUUACAGCUUUGGUUAGAAUAAACACUUUGAAGCAGAACUGAAGGUCAAUGACCUGAUGGAUUAUUGUCAGUAGUGGUCGAGUCUCUGAGGAGAAAUAUAUAUCAAGCCGUCUUGUUGUGAUCAUAGUCCCCGGUCAGGAUCCACCAACGUCCAGUCAUUAUCCACAUCUGCAGCUUCAGGUGCGUCCCUGUCCUGGAGCAGGGACCUGUUACCCUGGACUUGUUGGUCCAGAUGCUGGUCUGGAGACUUUUUAAUGACACCAGUUGCUUUGUUUCUCAGAGUUGAACCCAUGACUCAUUUUGGGGUUCUGAUGCCUCCAUACAAAAACACAUCCAUCUGUGUCAUCCUGUUCUUGUCUUUCACAAUAAAAGCUCAAACCUGUA